rnacentral:lncRNA from 1 species
ACCAUCUACCCAGAGGCCUCCAGAAAGACACUGGACCACAGUAGAAGAGGUAAACCAAAAGACUUCAGAUCCCAACAAGACCAAGCCCAGGAAAUCAUGUGCAACGCAAACCAUCUAUACUCUAGCGUGAGAACAUCACACUCCCUGCCAUCCUAACCUGGUAAAGUCAUUCCAACAGCAGAAAUGCUGUGAAAUAAGGCACAUCCUUAACACAGGUACAGGAAUUGGUGUCAGUAACUGUAAAUUCAUCCUGAAACGGCCAGCGCAAGGAUGACCAUCAGGCCGCGGGCCAGACCUGGUCCAUAGGCCACGGUUUGCCAAACCCUGCUCAAAAGCCUGACCAAAGGCCACAGCAGGAUCUUUAAAAUUGCCAGUUAGAAGAAAUAUCCAUUUGGUAGCAUAGUAGAAGGUGGGUUUAAAGAGACAGAAGACAUGGAAGGAAUCCCUCUGCCCUUUUAAGAGACUCCCAUGCAGUUCACAGGACCAGGUUUGCAUGCACAACCCAUGAGGCUUCAGAGGAUGACAGCUCCAUUAAUCUACUGCUGGAAUGCCACAGAAGCUCUGUGCCCACACACAUGGGAAGCCUCAACAAAGAUGGCCCUGUACCCAUGAUCAGAAAAGCAACACAGUCACGGUUCCUAAGAAGAUUCCACAAAUCAUCAGGGUUCAAUCUUUUGCAAAUACUGGAGGGUACACAUGGAGCAGAAGGCCCCCGAUGAUGCUGUCUUCAACUGCACAUCACCAGUCCAGCUUCACAAAGGACAAGAAAGCUAGAAAGACCCUCUUCAACCCUGGGGUCAC